GUCGGCGUCGCUAAGCGCUUGAGUUCGAGGGAAACCAGCCAGAACAGGCCGGAAUACCUCGCGUUCAAAAUCCGCCGCUGGAAACAGUGUGUCGGUUCGAGUCCGACCGCCGGCACCA
rnacentral:tRNA from 1 species